rnacentral:misc_RNA from 1 species
GAUGAAGAACGUAGCGAACGUGCGAAACGUAAUGUGAAUUGCAGAAUUCAGUGAAUCAUCGAAUCUUUGAACGCAUCUUGCGCUCCUUGGUAUUCCGAGGAGCAUGCCUGUUUGAGUGUCGUGAAUACUCUCAACUUCAACCCUUUUUUCGGAAAGGGAGGAAGGUUGGACUUGGGUGUUUGUUGAAGUGCGAGCUUCGACUCAUCCUAAAUGCAUUAGCGAUCUGCCUCGAUCACACACAAUGUGAUAAUUAAAACUAAAGCAUUGUUUAAUGAUCAAGUCGAGACUGCUUCUAACUGUCGCAAGACAAUAACGUGCAUACAUUUGUGCAUGUCAUUUGACCUCAAAUCAGGUAGGACUACCCGCUGAACUUAAGCAUAUCAAUAAGGGAGGA